rnacentral:rRNA from 1 species
AUCUGUAACUUCGGGAAAAGGAUUGGCUCUGAGGAUCGAGUGUUCCGAGCCCGUAGUGAAGGAUGACUUGAAAAGAACGCGAUUUUCGCAAGAAAGUUUCGUACUAGACAAGUCUCUAGAACUUUGCGGCAAAGUCACAAUUAACGAUUAACUCAGAACUGAAGCGGACAAGGGAAAUCUAACUGUCUAAUAACAACAUAGCAAAGUGAUGGCGUGAAAACGUGUUGACACUUUGUGAUUUCUGCCCAGUGCUACGAACGUUAAUGUGAUGAAAUUCACGCAAGCGCGGGUAAACGGCGGGAGUAACUAUGACUCUCUUAAGGUAGCCAAAUGCCUCGUCAUGUAAUUUGUGACGCGCAUGAAUGGAUCACUGAGAUUUCUACUGUCUCGGACUACUACUCGGCGAACCCACAGCCAAGGGUACGGGCUUGGCAAAAUCAGCGGGGAAAGAAGACCCUGUUGAGCUUGACUCUAGUCUGACUUUGUAAAGAAGCUAUUAAGGUGUAGUCUAGCAGGGAGAUCCGUCGAGCAUGCAAAACCUGUACUUAAUCAGUUUCUUUACUUAGACCGUAAGAUUGGGCUGCUAGCAAUAGCGUUCUAGAUCUAAGGCCACAUUGUGGCUGACCAAGGCGGUCGACAUCGUGAGACGGGGAGUUUGGCUGGGGCGGCACAUCUCUUAAAAAAUAACGGAGGUGUCCCAAGUUUAGCUCAAGUAGAACAGAAAUCUACUGUAGAACAAAAGGGUAAAAGCUAGAUUGAUUUUGAUUUUCAGUACGAAUACAAACCGGGAAACCGUGGCCUAUCGAUCCUUUAACUUUAUUAAGUAUAUAGCUAGAGGUGGCAGAAAAGUUACCACAGGGAUAACUGACUUGUCGUGGCCAAGCGUUCAUAGCGACGUCACUCUUUGAUCCUUCGAUGUCGGCUCUUCCUAUCAUUGAGACGCAGAACCUCUCAAAGUGUCGGAUUGUUCACCCGCUAAUAGGGAACGUGAGCUGGGUUUAGACCGUCGUGAGACAGGUUAGUUUUACCCUACUGAUGAAUUGAUGUGGCGACAGUAAUUUAGCUCAGUACGAAAGGAACAGUUGAAUCAGAUAAUUGGUUAAUACGGUUGCCUGAGAAGGCAGUGCCGUGAAGCUACCAUCUGUCAGAUAAAGG